rnacentral:rRNA from 1 species
AGCGAACGCUGGCGGCAGGCCUAACACAUGCAAGUCGAACGAACCUUUCGGGGUUAGUGGCGGACGGGUGAGUAACACGUGGGAACGUGCCUUUAGGUUCGGAAUAACUCAGGGAAACUUGUGCUAAUACCGAAUGUGCCCUUCGGGGGAAAGAUUUAUCGCCUUUAGAGCGGCCCGCGUCUGAUUAGCUAGUUGGUUGAGGUAAUGGCUCACCAAGGCGACGAUCAGUAGCUGGUCUGAGAGGAUGAUCAGCCACAUUGGGACUGAGACACGGCCCAAACUCCGACGUGAGGCAGCAGUGGGGAAUCUUGCGCAAUGGGCGAAAGCCUGACGCAGCCAUGCCGCGUGAAUGAUGAAGGUCUUAGGAUUGUAAAAUUCUUUCACCGGGGACGAUAAUGACGGUACCCGGAGAAGAAGCCCCGGCUAACUUCGUG